UUCAUUCGGUGAAAGAUGGAAUGUUCCAUUCAACGAGGCAACAGCCGAGUUCAAUGGAACACUCCAUCUUUCACUGAAUGAAAAUGUUCUUAC